UACGGGGGGGGCGAAGCGUUGUUCGGAAUUACUGGGCGUAAAGGGCUCGUAGGUGGCCAACUAAGUCAGACGUGAAAUCCCCAGGCUCAACCUGGGAACUGCGUCUGAUACUGGAUGGCUUGAAUUCGGGAGAGGGAUGCAGAAUUCCAGGUGUAGCGGUGAAAUGCGUAGAUAUCAGGAGGAACACCGAUGGCGAAGGCAGGUCUCUGGGCCACUACUGACGCUGAGAAGCGAAAGCAUGGGGAGCGAACAGG
rnacentral:rRNA from 1 species